AUUGAACGCUGGCGGCAGGCUUAACACAUGCAAGUCGAACGCGUGGCGGACGGGUGAGACAUGCAUGGGAAUCUAGCUUCUGGAGGGGGAUAACUACGAGCAACUGUAGCUAAUACCGCGUAGCAUAGGAUGAGCCCAAGAGGGAUUAGGUAGCUGGUGAGGUAAAGGCGCACCAAGCCUACGAUCUCUAGCUGGUCUGAGAGGAUGACCAGCCACACUGAAGCUGAGACACGGCCCAGACUCCUACGGGCGGAAGCAGUGGGUAAUAUUGCGAAAUGGAGGAAACCUGACGCAGCCAUGCCGCGUGGAUGAAGAAGCCCUUUGGGUUGUAAAGUUCUUUCUGUAGCGAGACUUUCACCACAGAAUAGGCGCCGGCUAACUACAUGCCAGCAGCCGCGGUAAUAC
rnacentral:rRNA from 1 species